rnacentral:rRNA from 1 species
UACGUAGGGCGCAAGCGUUGUCCGGAAUUAUUGGGCGUAAAGAGCUCGUAGGCGGCCAGUUGCGUCUGCUGUGAAAUCCCGGGGCUCAACCCCGGGCGUGCAGUGGAUACGGGCUGGCUAGAGGCAGGCAGGGGAGAACGGAAUUCCCGGUGUAGCGGUGAAAUGCGCAGAUAUCGGGAGGAACACCGGUGGCGAAGGCGGUUCUCUGGGCCUGCACUGACGCUGAGGAGCGAAAGCGUGGGGAGCGAACAGG